CUUAUCCCUUUUGCAAUGAAUGGGAAACACGUGGUCUUCAAUGUUCAUACCAUUUUUUCCUUUCUUUAUUCUUCCUUUUCUUUGUAUGACUCCUAAAUCUUUUGUUCCCCAAAAAAUUGCUUCGUUCUAUGAUAACUCAAUUUACCAUUUCAACACUACAAAAUCAAAGCGAACACCCUAGGAUACGAAUAUAUACUGGAAAGGCACAUACAGAGAGAUUGAGAUAUUGAAAUUUUAAGCUAAGGCGUAAAACUAAGAAGCCGGGUCAUCUCUAAAAGCAGAACCACUGUAUCUUCAUUGAGGUCUCAUCAGCUUCUCUCUCUGGUAUUCAUUUUUCAAAUUGUAAGCUCUUUGUUUAGUUUUACAGGUAUCAGAACACCAUGUCACAACGAACCGACAUCAAUUAUGAAUCUACGAUGAUCAUAUAACACCAGCUUUAUCUGAUUGAACAUGCAAAAUGCAAGUUGUGGACAAAAUCAAGAGCGAGAAAAUCUUCUCAAUAAAAAGAAGACUUCAGAAUUAAUCUUGCAAGAUGAAGAGAACUUGAAGCUGCAAUUAUGCUGCGCAACACAGCGCAACUAUAGAAAUGCGGCGCACUGAAUUAUUUUGCUAAUGGGAACUUCAGGAAAAAGGUUUUGAAGCUCAACUCAAGAUAGUUAGGUUCUUCUAUGGCAUUUACAACUAAAUGUGGUGCACGAUAAUUAUAUUUGACACUGUAGUUUGAAAUUUUAAGAUUCUCUAUUACCAACUACGCGAUGAAUAAAUUGUGUAUCAAACAGUUCUAAAUGUUGAUGUUCCAGGAUAGAAUUUUCCCUUUGUAGUUUCUCAUUUCAUUAUUGUUUGAGCAUAAGUUAGUAAAUAGAGCCUAAAAAGAGAUCAUGUGCGCUGAUGAAUAUCCUUGCAUAAACAUAGUAGUCUAUGUAGUUUCUUAGUAUAGUUAAUAAUGUCGGUACUCCCUACAACAUGUAAUUAUUUUAUAGGUCCAUGUGUUAAAAUUAAUUAGGGUGCACCAUAGUCCAUAAUAGCUAUUUACUUUGAUAAGUUUUUGUUUAUGGCAUUUUCCUUGAAAUUCUUUGGAAGAUAUUUUAAGUGACCAAAAAUGAUAGGAAAAUAUAUUGAUCCCACUCUAGACGAAGAAUUAAUGCACCAAAGAAGUAACAUAAGCUUCAUUGAAAAAAGUAGAAGUCAACUCAUAUAUUAUCAUCAUCAAACUGAGGAGAAUAGGUAUUGAUAGGUACUACUUUCUUAUUCGUACAGGGAUAAGGAAUUUUUUCUAUUUCUUCUUUCUAAAGGCAAGGCUAAGCCAUCCGCCCUUCAUUGCAGGGGAAAAGGGGAGACGGUUCCCAAGGGGUGGCUCUAUGUCACCUUCAAAGUUUUAUUGUAAGAUUUUAUUUUAAUAAACUUAUGUAUUACAUGCUCUAUAGCGUUAUGAAAGAACUAGGAUUGUCCCAAAAAAAGAUAUUGAUUCCUAGCUAGAGCAUGGAAGAGAUGUAUCCCAUUAUUUAUUAAAAUUGUUACCAAUGAAGUUUCAAAGAAGCUUGUUCCUACUUCAUUUUAGCAGUAGCUGUUGCUUCCCCGUGGCGGGUAAAUUAGAGGUAUCUCUAUUUUCUAUGCUCAUGAUACUUUGGCUGAUUACUAACCUCUAUUUUUAUAGUUGAAGGUUUUUGCAGGUUCAAUUUUAGUUUCUUAGAGCUUAGGUGUUUGGAGCUGAAUUUGAUAAUGAUAGAUGAUUUCAUAGGGUUGCCAACAACUUCAGCGCCAUCGCAGCUUGAGAUACUUAUCAUGAAUCACAAAUGCAGGAAAAAUGCUGAUAUCUCAAGCUGUUAGAGCUAUGUGUAGAUUCUGAGUAUGUUCUCUUCUAAAAUCUCUAUCUAAUUUCCCCUAUCCGUGGAACUGCAGUUCUUUAGUGAAAAAAGCUCCAUCAACCUUUCAAUACUAAAAUCAGUGACAACCGUGAUUACAAUAACCCAGGUGUCUCUAUUUGAAAAAGUGUCUGACAUCCUGCUUCACCUAUUGAUUGAGUUGAAUGUUUUGGUUAGCGCUUCAUACAACUAAUAUAUGGUGUUUUUGGUCCAUGCUAAGAAUAUUCAUAUGGAAUCUUAUUGGUUAAUUACAGUAAUUUCGAUUUUUUUCUGGAUCAAGCAUCAUGUCUCUAUGGUGUAUAUAUUUUCUUUUUGAUGUAAUAUUAGAGGUAGGAAGUGUCUUAGUCUUUUCUGUAGCUAUAACUGUUCAAAAGUCGAUUCUCCAUUUCUGCUUUCAAUCUGGAGUUCCUAUCCUUUGGCUUGAUGCUUCUCUUACCUAUGUUGUUCGACUUGAAUGUGCCAUCAAGCUCUUGACGACAAUUCAAAAAGCACUGAUAUAGCAGUUUGGAGUGUCUUGCUGGUGAUGACCCUGAUCCUACUUCAAAUGAGAGACUACGUUAUGAAUCAAGACUAUGUUAUACCUCCAAAUAACACAAACUAUAUAUGUCAGGCAUAUGCCCGUGCACAGCACGGGCACCACCUAUCUAGUAUAGAUAGAAGAAGAGAGAAGAUGGUCGACCAAUGGUAUAUUUGUAAAUCUAUCUUCAUUUAAGGGCAAAAUAGUAAUUGUGUCACUAAAUGAUAAAAUAAAACUCUAGAAGGAUCCGAUUUUUCAUUCUAAUCUUUAACUGUCUUUCUUCUUCCAGUUUUUACUUGGUCUGUGCUACAUUUCUGAGUCUGUUGAAUUUUUCUUCACUCUCACUUGCUUUGCCUGUUGCAUCCAUUUGUUGUUUGUUGCACCUCUUUGUUGGUAAUGGGGAUUUGGUGGGUAUCUCUUAUUUAUUAUUCUUUUGGAAUAUUUUUUCCACCGUGUACAUCUGCUUUUGACAUGCAUGUUUGGUUUUUUCCUGCAUAGGUUUAAACACGAUUUGGGCACAUUGAAUUAACAUCUGGAACGAAAAUGACAUAAAAAUAGACAAGAGCAUUGUUGCAGCCAAGGACCUCAAUCUAUUAUCUUAUAACUGUAGAUCGCAGAAAAAGGCAAGCACCUUAUGCUGGAGCUUUCUUUGGAAGAUGAGCAACGCUAAUCGUAAUGUUUUGUCUGCUCAGAUACAAAGAAGACGUUUAUGAGCUCAAAGGAAAAGUUUUAUUUAACGUUCCUCACGAAAUUUUGCGUGUUUGUUCAGGUUCGUUAUUACUGCUUUGCGUAUUGUGUUGCUUUACGCAACCCCAAGGAAUUGUUGGGGUUACUUUGCAUUUGACAGUGAUGGGCAGGAGCGGCGUGUUGAAUCAUGGAAUUAGCUACCCAUGCCACAUCAUCGGUUUGUCGAGACAUUUCCUUUAUUUUUCCCUGCGUCUAAUUUUAAAUCCAGCACGUGAGUAGAUAUUCUAGCUGAUAAUGGAUAAAAUCAUUUGUAUUACCGAACUUAAAAAUGCAAGAUUUUGUGUCCAUUGAUUCAAAUGUAUUUCUUGCAAUCGUAGUACUGAUAUGCUUUAUCAUAUCCAAUGUACCGAAAAAAAGAAAUGUAUAUGUUGGGUCCGUGCAAGAACGGGCCACAGCCAUUUAGUUAUAAUAUAAAAUAGAAUUUGUACUUUCUAUUA